AAUAAAAAUUGCAACAAUAAAAUCCUAACUAUAAUAGAAUACUAACUAAACUAUAAUUAUAUCAUAAUAAUACUAAGCAAGCUUUAAUCAAAUUCAAAGAAACUUCAAAGAAAUUUCAAAGAAAUAAUAAAAAAUCUUAAAGAAAUAUUAAAAUGAUCAAAAAUAUAUCUUAAAUACAUCUCAAUUCAAUCUUAAUUUAAUCCUAGUUAAAAUCCUAUUGGACUUCAUUCAAAAUUUUGGCCAAAACUAAUUAAAUCUUAAAUCCUAAAAAAAUCCUAAUAAAAACUUAAAUCCUAAUAAAAUCUUAAAUCCUAAAAAAAAUCCUAAAUCCUAAACCAAAUCCUAAACCCUAAACCAAAUCCUAACCAAAUCUUAAAUCAAAUUCUAUCCAAACCCUAAAUCAAACCCUAAGUAAAUCUUAAAUCCCAAAUCAAACCCUAAACAAACCUUAAACCAAAUUCUAUCCAAAUUCUAAUCCAAACUCUAAAUCCUAAAUCAAAUCCUAACCAAAUCCUAACCAAACCUUAACCAAAUCUUAAACCAAACCCUAACCAAACCCUAACCAAACCCUAACCAAACCUUAAUCAAACCCUUAACCAAACUCUAACCAAUCUCUAAACAAAUCCUAAAUCAAAUUCUAACUAAACCUUAAACCAAAGUCUAACUAAUUCCUAAAUAAAUCCUAAAUCAAACCCUAACUAAACCUUAAACCCUAAACCAAAUCCUAAAUUCUAAAUCAAAUCCUAAUCAAAUCCUAAAUCCUAAUCUAAAUCCUAACUAAACCUUAAACUCUAAACCAAAUCCUAAAUUCUAAAUCAAAUCCUAAAUCCUAAACAAAAUCCUAACCAAACCCUAAAUGAAAUCCUAACCAAAUCCUAAAUAAAACCCUAACCAAAUUCUAAACCCUAAACCAAA
rnacentral:lncRNA from 1 species